rnacentral:rRNA from 1 species
UGGGGAAUAUUGGACAAUGGGCGCAAGCCUGAUCCAGCCAUGCCGCGUGAGUGAUGAAGGCCCUAGGGUUGUAAAGCUCUUUCACCGGUGAAGAUAAUGACGGUAACCGGAGAAGAAGCCCCGGCUAACUUCGUGCCAGCAGCCGCGGUAAUACGAAGGGGGCUAGCGUUGUUCGGAUUUACUGGGCGUAAAGCGCACGUAGGCGGACUAUUAAGUCAGGGGUGAAAUCCCUGGGCUCAACCCCGGAACUGCCUUUGAUACUGGUAGUCUUGAGUUCGAGAGAGGUGAGUGGAAUUCCGAGUGUAGAGGUGAAAUUCGUAGAUAUUCGGAGGAACACCAGUGGCGAAGGCGGCUCACUGGCUCGAUACUGACGCUGAGGUGCGAAAGCGUGGGGAGCAAACAGG